AGUCCGAACCGAUCUUCUGUAAUGCAUUCUUAAGCUCCUUCAUGUUCAGACUUCCGUCCUUGUUCACGUCUGCUUCCUUCAAUAUCUCCAUCACUUGUUCUCUAGUGAGCACUUUGGGUGACACUGAUUUUGGUAAUCUAAUUGUCAUUUUACCUGAUUCUGAUUUCCCUCUCUGCUGCUUCAAUUUUAUGUGACUUCUCUUUUUCUUUGUUGCUUUUGCUUGGCUUGUAUGAGGGAGAUCAAAAUCAGGGAAAAUG